rnacentral:rRNA from 1 species
GACGAACGCUGGCGGCGUGCUUAACACAUGCAAGUCGAGCGGUAAGGCCCUUUCGGGGGUACACGAGCGGCGAACGGGUGAGUAACACGUGGGUGACCUGCCCUCAGCUCUGGGAUAAGCCCGGGAAACUGGGUCUAAUACCGGAUAUGACUCCAUGACGCAUGUUGUGGGGUGGAAAGCCUUGUGCGGCUGAGGAUGGGCCCGCGGCCUAUCAGCUUGUUGGUGGGGUGAUGGCCACCAAGGCGACGACGGGUAGCCGGCCUGAGAGGGCGAUCGGCCACACUGGGACUGAGAUACGGCCCAGACUCCUGCGGGAGGCAGCAGUGGGGAAUCUUGCGCAAUGGGCGAAAGCCUGACGCAGCGACGCCGCGUGAGGGAUGACGGCCU